GACGAACCGUGCGAACGUUGUUCGGAAUCACUGGGCUUAAAGGGCGCGUAGGCGGGCGGGCAAGUCGGAGGUGAAAGCCCCCAGCUCAACUGGGGAAGUGCCCUCGAUACUGCCGGCCUGGAGGGAGGUAGGGGCGUGCGGAACUUCCGGUGGAGCGGUGAAAUGCGUAGAUAUCUGGAGGAACACCGGUGGCGAAGGCGGCAUCCUGGACCAUGACUGACGCUGAGGAGCGAAAGCCAGGGGAGCAAACGGG
rnacentral:rRNA from 1 species